GAUGAACGCUGGCGGCGUGCCUAAUACAUGCAAGUCGAGCGAACAGACGAGGAGCUUGCUCCUCUGACGUUAGCGGCGGACGGGUGAGUAACACGUGGAUAACCUACCUAUAAGACUGGGAUAACUUCGGGAAACCGGAGCUAAUACCGGAUAAUAUAUUGAACCGCAUGGUUCAAUAGUGAAAGACGGUUUUGCUGUCACUUAUAGAUGGAUCCGCGCCGCAUUAGCUAGUUGGUAAGGUAACGGCUUACCAAGGCAACGAUGCGUAGCCGACCUGAGAGGGGGAUGGGCAAAACUGGAACUGAGACAGGGUAGAGAAGCAUACGGGAGGCAGAAGCAGGGAAGCUUCCGCAAUGGGCGAAAGCUGGACGGAGCAAUGCCGCGUGAGGAAGGAAGGUCUACGGAUCGUAAAACUCUGUUAUUAGGGAAGAACAAAUGUGUAAGGAACUAUGCACGUCUUGACGGUAACUAAUCAGAAAGACAAGGCUAACUACGUG
rnacentral:rRNA from 1 species